UUUAAUUGAUUUUUUUUUAAUUUCAUUCUUUAACAUUAAGUUGAUUGAGAAUUGAGUUUUAUAAUUUAUUUUGAUUUAUUUUUUUAUGGGGUUGUUCUAGUCUUAUGAUCCAGGUCGUGGAUUUGGUAAAUUAACUUUGGUUGUUUUUUUGUUAUUUUUUUAAUUGAUUGUUUUUCAAUUUCAUCAUUAAUAUUAUAUUGUCG
rnacentral:lncRNA from 1 species